rnacentral:rRNA from 1 species
UACGUAGGGGGCAAGCGUUGUCCGGAUUUAUUGGGCGUAAAGAGCGUGUAGGCGGCUCAUACAGUCAGGCGUGAAAUUCCUGGGCUCAACCUGGGGGCUGCGCUUGAGACGUGUGGGCUUGAGGACAGGAGAGGCUCGUGGAAUUCCCAGUGUAGAGGUGAAAUUCGUAGAUAUUGGGAAGAACACCGGUGGCGAAGGCGGCGAGCUGGCCUGUAACUGACACUGAGGCUCGAAAGUGCGGGGAUCAAACAGG